AGAGUUUGAUCCUGGCUCAGAUUGAACGCUGGCGGCAUGCCUUACACAUGCAAGUCGAACGGUAGAGGGGCAACCCUUGAGAGUGGCGAACGGGUGAGUAAUGCAUCGGAACGUGCCCAGUCGUGGGGGAUAACGCAGCGAAAGCUGUGCUAAUACCGCAUGUGAUCUGUGGAUGAAAGCGGGGGACCGAAAGGCCUCGCGCGAUUGGAGCGGCCGAUGUCAGAUUAGCUAGUUGGUAGGGUAAAAGCCUACCAAGGCGACGAUCUGUAGCUGGUCUGAGAGGACGACCAGCCACACUGGGACUGAGACACGGCCCAGACUCCUACGGGAGGCAGCAGUGGGGAAUUUUGGACAAUGGGCGCAAGCCUGAUCCAGCAAUGCCGCGUGCAGGACGAAGGCCUUCGGGUUGUAAACUGCUUUUGUACGGAGCGAAACGGUCUGGGUUAAUACCCUGGGCUAAUGACGGUACCGUAAGAAUAAGCACCGGCUAACUACGUGCCAGCCGCCGCGGUAAUUC
rnacentral:rRNA from 1 species